GAGAAGGGGCGCGAAGGUAUCAUUGAGUGCAGCGUUGAUGAGCCGCCGCCAGCCCUUCCCCGGCCGCGGCUCACCGGCGCUGCACUCAAUUACGCCUUUGCUCUCUGGCCGGCGACGGCGAGUCCCCUCGUAGCCGUGUAGACAUCCCUCAAUCAUCAGGCGGGUUGGCGUGCGGGGAGGGCGUUUUAUACUACGCGGCCCGGCGGCAAUCCGGCGGAGAAACGGAGGUGGGUGGAGGCGAAAACAGGGAGCGCGUCGCCGGUUUUGGACUCCGACGGGAGGCGCUCACCGCUCGCCCCGUUUCCAAGGAAGCAGGGCGGUGGCAUGGUGCAUGCAUGUUGCCAAACUGCCAAAGCGUCGCGGCACGGGCCAUGGCCCAUGGGGAAGGGGAGCUUAAAAACUGUACACUCCUUAGUUUUUCUUUUUCUUUUGAAUGGCACAUUCGCGCUCCUUAGUGUUUUUUUUUUCGAGGCACUCCAUAGUUUUUCUUACUGCACGCUAUUAGUUUUUCGUUUGCCUUUCAAAAAAGAGUUUUUUCUUUUUGCCACAAUUCUGUAUUUGCCGUUAUAUAUAUGUCCCAUUACCAUGUGAGGACGAGGAACAUCCGUUACUGACAACAGUAAAUAAUAGACUGUGCAGAAGUGCUACGGCAGUAAAGAAAUUUUCCGCUUCCUCUUCUCCCUUUAUUUGUAGUGGCGACUGGUGAAGCCGUGAUCCUGUUUGGUUUCCUCUUCUAGGAAUUUUUAGAUUUUUUUUUUACAUAUAUGGAGUACUAAAUGAAAUUUAUUUGAAAAACAUCUUCACGGAUGAGUGUAAUUUCUCACGACGAAAUUUAAUGAUGGCAAUUGAUCGAUGAUUGGCUGCAGUGAUGCUACAGUAACUAUCUUCUAAUCAUGCGAUCAAAGGUCUCAUUAAAUUCAUCAGGGUUCUUAACACAGGGGUUCUGAAGUUGGUUUUAUAAACGAACUUUAUUUAAUACCCCUAAUUAGCGGUCAAAGUGCCUUCUAGGCAUUCUAGGAAGAAACCAAAUAGAACCCGUGUUGUGCGAGAGAUCCAUGAGGGUUGAGCGCAGUGUACUCUCUAAGAAGGAAACUCUGAAUUCCCUGUUAAUUAAUUGGACAAAGUCCAAGAAUUGUAAGGCUGAUUUACCUUUACGUAUUUCGUUCUUCAUAUAUAUAUUUUCCCCAUCCGCAAGUAUAUUUUUACAUUUUAGGGGCAUAGAGCGAGACUUUGUAGUAUUGAUUAUCUUGCCUUGCAUUAGACGCCUAAAGUGUUUGUAAUUGUGAGAGUUGAACUUUGUAUGCUUGUAUCUGACCUGUCUCUAUACCUUAAGUUUUAUGGGUCCCAUCAGCCGAACUUAGGCUCAUUAUAGUGACACAUCAGCAUUUAUGAUGAUAUGUCAAGGUAAUUACAAAGAAAGAGAGGGAAAAAGACUCAUCCGAUGAAACUGUGUAUACAGUGUUUCCAAUACUAUGAAAAUUAUUGAAACCUGCAUUGAGGAUUAUAGAGUUUCAUUUCAUACGAUUGUGUCCAAUCAUAUAUGUACCUCACAAUUAAUUGUUAUGGCUAAUACAUGAAAUCGUGAAAUAAAACUUUGCAUUGAAA